CGGAUUGUGCAGGCCUAUUUUAAGAAUACACAUUUCUCUUCUAAACUUAAUGGGAAUAGGGACUCGCCCUUAACUUUUAUUCCUGUUAAAAACAUAUAUUCGAAAUAAUUCUUCUUCUUUUUUUAAUUGUCAUCCAGGUUGCAAAAAUAUCUGCCUCUAAGAAUUCAGGAGGACCUACUUUGUGGGAGAAAAGGUAGUGAGUCAUACCUGCGAACUUGGAAAUGAGAGUUUGCUUGUGCUUCUUCAUCCAGUUGGGAAGUUUCCUAGGCAACCAUUUAUGCAGCAAUUAAAAGAUGAGGAGUUAAGAGGAGAAAAUGGGAAAAACAGAGGUACCUUUAAUGGAACAGAAUAAACCACUGAACAGGUAACUAAAUUAUCAGGGGUUGGUACACAUU
rnacentral:lncRNA from 1 species